rnacentral:rRNA from 1 species
UACGUAGCAGCAAACGUUGUUCGGAAUUACUGGGCGUAAAGCGCGUGUAGGCUGCUCGGAAAGUCGGAUGUGAAAGCCCUGGGCUCAACCUAGGAAGUGCAUUCGAAACUUCUGAGCUGGAGUGCUGGAGAGGAAGGCGGAAUUCUCGGUGUAGAGGUGAAAUUCGUAGAUAUCGAGAGGAACACCGGUGGCGAAAGGCGGCCUUCUGGGACAGCAACUGACGCUGAGACGCGAAAGCGUGGGGAGCAAACAGG